rnacentral:rRNA from 1 species
GAUGGACGCUGGCGGCGUGCCUAAUACAUGCAAGUCGUACGGAAAGGCCCUUCGGGGUACUCGAGUGGCGGACGGCUGAGUAACGCGUGGGAACGUGCCCCAAAGUGAGGGAUAACGCACCGAAAGGUGUGCUAAUACCGCAUAUGGUCUUCGGAUUAAAGCUUCGGCGCUUUGGGAGCGGCCCGCGUACGAUUAGAUAGUUGGUGAGGUAAUGGCUCACCAAGUCGACGAUCGUUAGCUGGUCUGAGAGGAUGAUCAGCCAGACUGGGACUGAGACACGGCCCAGACUCCUACGGGAGGCAGCAGUAAGGAAUUUUCCACAAUGGGGGCAACCCUGAUGGAGCAACGCCGCGUGCAGGAUGAAGGUUUUCGGAUCGUAAACUGCUUUUAUAAGUGAAGAAUAUGACGGUAACUUAUGAAUAAGGAUCGGCUAACUACGUGCCAGCAGCCGCCGUAA